rnacentral:rRNA from 1 species
UACGGGGGGGGCAAGCGUUGUUCGGAAUUACUGGGCGUAAAGGGCUCGUAGGCGGCCAAGUAAGUCAGACGUGAAAUCCCUCGGCUUAACCGGGGAACUGCGUCUGAUACUGGAUGGCUUGAGUUUGGGAGAGGGAUGCGGAAUUCCAGGUGUAGCGGUGAAAUGCGUAGAUAUCUGGAGGAACACCGGUGGCGAAGGCGGCAGCCUGGACCAACACUGACGCUGAGGAGCGAAAGCCAGGGGAGCAAACGGG